rnacentral:rRNA from 1 species
UCCGUAGGGUGCGAGCGUUAAUCGGAAUUACUGGGCGUAAAGCGUGCGCAGGCGGUUUUGUAAGUCUGUUGUGAAAUCCCCGGGCUCAACCUGGGAAUGGCAAUGGAGACUGCAAGGCUAGAGUUUGGCAGAGGGGGGUAGAAUUCCACGUGUAGCAGUGAAAUGCGUAGAUAUGUGGAGGAACACCGAUGGCGAAGGCAGCCCCCUGGGUCAAAACUGACGCUCAUGCACGAAAGCGUGGGGAGCAAACAGG